rnacentral:rRNA from 1 species
AGUGAACGCUGGCGGUAGGCCUAACACAUGCAAGUCGAACGGCAGCACAGUAAGAGCUUGCUCUUACGGGUGGCGAGUGGCGGACGGGUGAGGGAUACAUCGGAAUCUACUUUUUCGUGGGGGAUAACGUAGGGAAACUUACGCUAAUACCGCAUACGACCUACGGGUGAAAGCAGGGGAUCUUCGGACCUUGCGCGAUUGAAUGAGCCGAUGUCGGAUUAGCUAGUUGGCGGGGUAAAGGCCCACCAAGGCGACGAUCCGUAGCUGGUCUGAGAGGAUGAUCAGCCACACUGGAACUGAGACACGGUCCAGACUCCUACGGGAGGCAGCAGUGGGGAAUAUUGGACAAUGGGCGCAAGCCUGAUCCAGCCAUACCGCGUGGGUGAAGAAGGCCUUCGGGUUGUAAAGCCCUUUUGUUGGGAAAGAAAAGCAGCAGGUUAAUACCCCGCUGCUCUGACGGUACCCAAAGAAUAAGCACCGGCUAACUUCGUG